rnacentral:misc_RNA from 1 species
AUUACAGAAAUUGAGACAAACAUUGAUUGCGAUACUUUUAUCCCAACAAUUGAUUCUACUGUCUUUCAACCUUGGUACUCAUCCUUUCCCAUGGUGGAAAACAGCAUACGAUAUUCCUUUGCAACAUAUGUUCGAGUGAGGAGUUCUGCAAUUGAAUCCCAUGGCCAAAAUAAUGGUCUGAGCCCUGAUAGUGGUUCAGAAAACAGUAAGCUUGAGGUAAAGAAGUUCUCUUUCCUUCCUAAGAUGGUUUUUGAGAGGCAUGAGGAGUUGUUGUAUCUUAGACUUGUUCAAGAUAUCAUCUCAGAUGGCAAUUUGAAGGAUGACAGAACUGGAACUGGUACUUUGUCAAAAUUUGGUUGCCAGAUGCGGUUCAAUCUUCGCAAAACUUUUCCACUUCUUACAACGAAGAAAGUAUUCUGGCGAGGGGUUGUCGAAGAACUCCUGUGGUUCAUUAGCGGUUCAACGAAUGCCAAGGUCCUUCAGGAUAAGGGCAUUCAUAUAUGGGAUGGCAAUGCAUCCAGAGAUUACCUUGAUAAUAUUGGGUUGAAGGACAGGGAGGAGGGUGACUUAGGACCUGUUUAUGGAUUCCAGUGGAGACACUUUGGAGCCGGAGCUAGGUAUACUAACAUGCAUGCUGACUACACUGGCCAAGGAUUUGAUCAGUUGUU